rnacentral:lncRNA from 1 species
AUAAAACAGUCAACACAUUUCUACAGUUGACAUUCGAUUGAUAGAUUGGUCCAGACAUGCAUGUACCCUCCAGAAAAAUGUUCUUAUUGAAAAUAAUCCUGAUUACAACUUUUGUUGUCAUGGUAACUUCAACGAAAUCACAGAUUGGGAAGAAUUUUCAUGACACGAAACGUACGCCAUCCGCAGGUAAAUAUCUUAUUAAAAAUAUAAGGAAACAUAAAUAUAUGUUAAUUCAAGAACAAUAAUGAUUAAAUAAAUAAUUAUGAAACUUAUAAAGAUAAGAUAUACCGUCGUGCUUUAUGACAUACACUUAAGUUAAAAUGACGAGAGAAAAAAACCUGAAGUUGUUAUAUGUUUGUUCUGCAGUUAACAGUAAAUUAACAACUAGUUCAAAAAUUAUGUAAUCGAUAAAUAUUACUGAAUAAUGUACUUUUUUUUAAUAGGGAAAACCACAUAUUAAGCGACAUUAUGUAUCAAUUAUAGUAAUGAUUAACGUAUCUGCAAUACAUACAGUGCACUUUUGAAUGUUCAGUUGAUAUGCAAUAAAAUUGAAAAUGGAAAUGGGGAAUGUGUCAAAGAGACAGCAACCUGACCAUAGAAAAGACAACAGCAGAAGGUCACCAACUGGUUUUCAAUGUAGCGACAAAUUCCCGCAACCGGAGGCGUCCUUCAGCUGGCCCCUAAACAAAUAUAUAGCCGAGUUCAGUGAUAAUUAACGCCAUACUAAAUCAAAUUGUAUACAAGAAACUAAAAUUAAAAAUAAUACAAGACUAACAAAUGCCAGAGGCUCCUGACUUGGGACAGGGGCAAAAAUGCGGUGGGGUUAAACAUGUUUAUGAGUUCUUAACCCUCCCCCUAUACCUCUAUGUUUACUAUUAAAAUUUUGAGAUAAGUAUUAUUUCCUCAUUACAACAGGUGUGGUACCUUUAAUAAGGAAUAAUGUAAACACAGAAAAAGUAAUAGAAAACCGCGAACAAAGCAUUUUUCUAAAUUUCUACCUAAUUGUAUCAUAGAAAAACAUUAAAACAAUAUUACAAUAUGCCUACUACACAAGAAAGAAACUAUUUGUAAGAAUAUAAUAAGUUAAAAUAGUUAAACUUUUUGUUUUCUAUAAUUUCAACUUAAUUGUAUAAACAACGUACGUUUAGUAUGACUAUUGUGGCACAUAACGACGUCACUGUUUAAUGUUGUGAAAUAAUUGUUUUACGUUAUGAUUUUCACAGGAAAUUUUAAGUAUGGGCGAGGGAAUAUGAUUAAUAACUGGUGUCCAGGU